AGUGAACGCUGGCGGCGUGCUUAACACAUGCAAGUCGAGCGAAUUUCGGCAGUGUAUCGCCGAAGUUAGCGGCAGACGGGUGAGUAAUAUUUGGGCAAUCUGCCCUCCAGAGGGAAACAACCUGCCGAAAGGCGGGCUAAUGUCCCGUAAGACCACAGAAUCUCAUGAUUCAGGGGUUAAAGCUCCGCAAGGGGCGCUGGUGGAGGAGCCCGAAUCCUAUCANGGUAGUUGGUGAGGUAACGGCUCACCAAGCCUUUGACGGGUAGCCGGCCUGAAAGGGUGAUCGGCCACACUGGCACUGAGACACGGGCCAGACUCCUACGGAGGCAGCAGUGGGGAAUUUUGGACAAUGGGGCAACCCUGAUCCAGCGACGCCGCGUGGAGGACGAAGGUCUUCGGAUUGUAAACUCCUUUUAAAGGGGAUGAAUGCCCCUGGUGAAAACCAGGGGUGACAGUACUCUUUGAAUAAGCCACGGCUAACUACGUGCCAGCCGCCGCGGUAAG
rnacentral:rRNA from 1 species